rnacentral:rRNA from 1 species
UAUAAGCCGUAUCUCCCUGCAGUUCUCACCUGGUUUCUCACUGAAGCUAAGCAGGGUUGAGCCUGGUCAGUACCUGGAUGGGAGACCUCCUGGGGAGAACUAAGGUUGCUGCUGGAA